rnacentral:rRNA from 1 species
GACGAACGCUGGCGGCGUGCUUAACACAUGCAAGUCGAACGGAAAGGCCUCUUUCGGGGGGUACUCGAGUGGCGAACGGGUGAGUAACACGUGAGUAAACUGCCCUUUACUUUGGGAUAACUUCAGGAAACGGGGGCUAAUACCGGAUAGGAGAUCCUGCCGCCUGGUGGGGGUUGGAAAGUUUCGGCGGUUGGGGGUUGACUGGCGGCGUAUCCGCUUGUUGGUGGGGUCGUGGCUUACCCAGGCUUUGGCGGGUAGCCGGACUGAGAGGGUGACGGGCGACAUUGGCACUUAGAGACGGCCCAGACGCCGACGGGUGGCAGCAGGGGGGAAGCUUGCACAAUGGGUGGAAGCCUGAUGCAGCAGCGCCGUGUGUGGUAUGACGGCCUUCGGGUUGUAAACCGCUUUCGCUCAUGACGAAGCUUUGUGUGACGGUAGUGGGUAAAGAAGCACCGGCUAACUACGUG